UACGAAGGGGGCUAGCGUUGCUCGGAAUUACUGGGCGUAAAGCGCACGUAGGCGGCUUUCUAAGUCGGGGGUGAAAUCCUGGAGCUCAACUCCAGAACUGCCUUCGAUACUGGAAAGCUCGAGUCCGGGAGAGGUGAGUGGAACGUGCGAGUGUAGAGGUGAAAUUCGUAGAUAUUCGACAAGAACACCAGUGGCGAAGGCGGCUCACUGGCCCGGUACUGACGCUGAGGUGACGAAGCGUGGGGAGCAAACAGG
rnacentral:rRNA from 1 species